rnacentral:rRNA from 1 species
GUACACACCGCCCGUCACACCAUGGGAGUGGGUUUCACCAGAAGUAGGUAGCCUAACCGCAAGGAGGGCGCUUGCCACGGUGAGGUUCAUGACUGGGGUGAAGUCGUAACAAGGUAGCCGUAGGUGAACCUGCAGAAGGAUCA